UACGUAGGGGGCAAGCGUUGUCCGGAAUUAUUGGGCGUAAAGAGCGUGUAGGCGGUCCGGUAAGUCAGCUGUGAAAGUCAAGGGCUCAACCCUUGAAUGCCGGUUGAUACUGUCGGGCUAGAGUCCGGAAGAGGCGAGUGGAAUUCCUGGUGUAGCGGUGGAAUGCGCAGAUAUCAGGAGGAACACCAAUGGCGAAGGCAGCUCGCUGGACGGUACUGACGCUGAGACGCGAAGCGUGGGAGCAACAGGAUAGAUACC
rnacentral:rRNA from 1 species